rnacentral:tRNA from 1 species
UCCCUAGUAGCUCAGAUGAUAAAGCAUCUGUCUGAAAUUCAAGAGACCUAGGUUCAAACUCUGGGUAGGGAA